AAGAAGCAAAGAGUGCACCUGCUAUCCCCCCAGAGGCGACACAAUCACUCCAUUUACCCUGAGAAAGGAGGCAGAGAGGAGAGGAAAAGCUGUUUUGCAUCCUGAUCAUACAGCAGGACGAACACUUAGUCUGCUUGGCUCCACACGGUUGGACGACACCCUCGCCCGGCGGACACUGCUUGCAGCACUUUCCGUCAGUGGUGUACUGCCCCGACAAACACUCCUCUUUGGCUGAGGCCACCACCUGUCAAUCGUCAGAGGCAUCAGUCAGUCACA